rnacentral:rRNA from 1 species
UGAGGAAUAUUGGUCAAUGGACGCAAGUCUGAACCAGCCAAGUAGAGUGCAGGAUGACGGCCCUAUGGGUUGUAAACUGCUUUUAUAUGGGGAUAAAGUGGGGAACGUGUUCCCUUUUGCAGGUACCAUAUGAAUAAGGACCGGCUAAUUCCGUGCCAGCAGCCGCGGUAAUACGGAAGGUUCGGGCGUUAUCCGGAUUUAAUGGGUUUAAAGGGAGCGUAGGCCGUUUGGUAAGCGUGUUGUGAAAUGUAGGAGCUCAACUUCUAGAUUGCAGCGCGAACUGUCAGACUUGAGUGCGCACAACGUAGGCGGAAUUCAUGGUGUAGCGGUGAAAUGCUUAGAUAUCAUGAAGAACUCCGAUUGCGAAGGCAGCUUACGGGAGCGCAACUGACGCUGAAGCUCGAAGGUGCGGGUAUCGAACAGG